AUCACUUCUCGGCCUUUUGGCUAAGAUCAUGUGUAGUAUCUGUUCUUAUCAGUUUAAAAAUAUAUUUAUUUGAAAGAGUUAGUGAGACAGAGAAUGUUAAGGAGAAGGAGGGAGAAGGGAAGAGAGAGGGACAUCUUCCAUCUGCUGGUUCAACUUCAUGACUGGCUGGAACAGCUGUGGUUGA